rnacentral:rRNA from 1 species
GUGGGCGUAGGAAAUUUGAGAGGAGCUGUCCUUAGUACGAGAGGACCGGGAUGGACGCACCGCUGGUGUACCAGUUGUUCUGCCAAGGGCAUAGCUGGGUAGCUAUGUGCGGAAGGGAUAAGUGCUGAAAGCAUCUAAGCAUGAAGCCCCCCUCAAGAUGAGAUUUCCCAUAGCGUAAGCUAGUAAGAUCCCUGAAAGAUGAUCAGGUUGAUAGGUUCGAGGUGGAAGUAUGGUGACAUGUGGAGCUGACGAAUACUAAUAGAUCGAGGACUUAACCAUAUAA